rnacentral:rRNA from 1 species
UACGGAGGGGGCUAGCGUUGUUCGGAAUCAUUGGGCGUAAAGGGCGCGUAGGCGGCCAGCCAAGUCGGGUGUGAAAUCCCUCGGCUCAACCGAGGAACUGCAUUCGAUACUGGCAGGCUAGAGUCCGGGAGGGGAUGGCGGAAUUCCCAGUGUAGCGGUGAAAUGCGUAGAUAUUGGGAAGGACACCGGUGGCGAAGGCGGCCAUCUGGACCGGAACUGACGCUGAGGCGCGAAAGCCAGGGGAGCGAAUGGG